UACGUAGGGGGCUAGCGUUGUCCGGAAUCAUUGGGCGUAAAGAGCGUGUAGGCGGCUCGGUAAGUCCGCUCUGAAAGCCCGGGGCUCAACCCCGGGAGGCGGGCGGAUACUGUCGAGCUAGAGUCCGGAAGAGGCGAGUGGAAUUCCUGGUGUAGCGGUGAAAUGCGCAGAUAUCAGGAGGAACACCGGUGGCGAAGGCGGUCUCUGGGCCUAUACUGACGCUGAGAAGCGAAAGCGUGGGGAGCGAACAGG
rnacentral:rRNA from 1 species